CCUACGGGAGGCAGCAGUGGGGAAUAUUGGACAAUGGGCGCAAGCCUGAUCCAGCCAUACCGCGUGUGUGAAGAAGGCCUUCGGGUUGUAAAGCACUUUAAGCAGGGAGAAAAAGUUAUAAGCUAAUACCUUAUAACCUUGAUGUUACCUGCAGAAUAAGCACCGGCUAAUUCCGUGCCAGCAGCCGCGGUAAUACGGAAGGUGCAAGCGUUAAUCGGAAUUACUGGGCGUAAAGCGCGCGUAGGUGGUUUGUUAAGUUGGAUGUGAAAGCCCUGGGCUCAACCUAGGAACUGCAUCCAAAACUAACUCACUAGAGUACGAUAGAGGGAGGUAGAAUUCAUAGUGUAGCGGUGGAAUGCGUAGAUAUUAUGAAGAAUACCAGUGGCGAAGGCGGCCUCCUGGAUCUGUACUGACACUGAGGUGCGAAAGCGUGGGUAGCGAACAGGAUUAGAUACCCCGGUAGUC
rnacentral:rRNA from 1 species